UUUUUUUUUUUUUUCUUUUUAGGGCUUCUCCUGUGGCAUAUAUAAGUUCCCAGGCUGGGGGUUGAAUUGGAGCUGCAGCUGCUGGCUUACACCAUAGCCACAUCACCACCAAAUCCUUAACCCACUGAGCAGGGCCAGGGAUUGAACCUGCCUCCUCAUGGAUGCUAGUCAAGCUUGUUACUGCUGAGCCACUACAGGAACUCUAACCCACCACUUUUUUUUUUUUUUUGGCUUUUUUUAGGGCUGCACCCAAGGCAUAUGGAAGUUCCUAGGCUAGGGAUGCAAUUGGAGCCACAGCUGCCAGCCUCAGCCACAUCCACAGCAACGCAGCUCUGAUUCGACCCCUAGCCAGGGAAGUUCCAUAUGCCAUAGGUUUGGCCCUAAAAAAAUAAAUAAAUAAAUAAAUAAAAGACAAAAAAUAAAAAACAAAACAAAAAGGUAGAGCUGAUUUACAAUGUCAUGCCAAUUUCUGCUCUACAGCAAAGUGACCCAGCCAUAUAUAUAUUUUUUUUCUCAUAUCAUCCCCCAUCAUGUUCCUUCCCAAGAGACUAGACACAGUUCCCUGUGCUGUAGGGUAGGACCUCAUUGCUUAUCCAUUCUAAAUGUAAUAGUUUGCAUCUACUAACCCCAAACUCCCAGUCCCUCCCAUUCCCCCACUUCCCCCCUUGGAAACCCCAAGUCUGUUAUCCAUGUCUGAUGUUUCAAUACUACUUUGAAAGGAGGAAGGAUGGGCAAUCUAAUAUAUGGCACAAAUGAAAGAAAAGAAAAUCAUGGACUUGGAGAACAGAUGUGUGGUUGCCUAGGGGGAGGAGGAGGGAGUGGGAGAGAUUGGGAAUUUGGGCUUAAUAGAUGCAAAUUAUUGCCUUGGGGUGGAUGGACAGUGAGAUCCUGCUAUAUAGCACUGGGAACUAUAACUAGUCACUUAUGCUGGAGCACGAUCAUGUGAGAAAAAGAAUGUAUAUAUGUGUGUGUGACUGGGUCUCCUUGCUGUACAGUAGAAAAUUGACAGAACACUGUAAACCAGCUAUGAUGGAAAAAAUAAAAAUCAUUAAAAAAAAAAAAAAAGAAAGGAGGCAGGAUAAUGUUCUGGGAAGAGCAGAGUAGGUGUGAGUCCCAACUGUAUCUCUAGCUCUAUGGCCCUGCCAAGUUACCUGAUCUCUCCAAGCCUCAGUUUCCUAAUCUGUAAAAUGGGGAAAUUAUACCAACCACGGCUGACUAUAUUCAAUCUGUCUGCCCUUAGCGAGUUCUGGGGGCACCAACCCCCACAGUUCGGUCCUAUCCUUUGGCUGCAGGGGGGGUACGUGACCUGGCCUAGACAGUUAAUGGUUGUCUUCCCCCUGUUCACUGAGUGGAUAUAUAACCCUCAU
rnacentral:lncRNA from 1 species